rnacentral:rRNA from 1 species
CCUACGGGAGGCAGCAGUGGGGAAUAUUGGACAAUGGGGGGAACCCUGAUCCAGCGACGCCGCGUGAGUGAAGAAGUAUUUCGGUAUGUAAAGCUCUAUCAGCAGGGAAGAAAGAAAUGACGGUACCUGACUAAGAAGCCCCGGCUAACUACGUGCCAGCAGCCGCGGUAAUACGGAGGGGGCAAGCGUUAUCCGGAUUUACUGGGUGUAAAGGGAGCGUAGACGGCGAUGUAAGUCUGAAGUGAAAGGCGGGGGCCCAACCCCUGGACUGCUUUUGAAACUGUAUGGCUUGAGUGCAGGAGAGGUAAGUGGAAUUCCUAGUGUAGCGGUGAAAUGCGUAGAUAUUAGGAGGAACACCAGUGGCGAAGGCGGCUUACUGGACUGUAACUGACGUUGAGGCUCGAAAGCGUGGGGAGCAAACAGGAUUAGAUACCCUGGUAGUC